rnacentral:rRNA from 1 species
UACAGGGGGUGCAAACGUUGCUCGGAAUUAUUGGGCGUAAAGAGCUCGUAGGCGGUUUGUCGCGUCUGUCGUGAAAGCUUGGGGCUUAACCCUAAGUCUGCGGUGGAUACGGGCAGACUAGAGGCAGGUAGGGGAGAACGGAAUUCCCGGUGUAGCGGUGAAAUGCGCAGAUAUCGGGAGGAACACCGGUGGCGAAGGCGGUUCUCUGGGCCUGUACUGACGCUGAGGAGCGAAAGCGUGGGGAGCGAACAGG